rnacentral:misc_RNA from 1 species
AAGUCGUAACAAGGUUUCCGUAGGUGAACCUGCGGAAGGAUCAUUCACACUCGGAGGGGAGGUUCUGCCUCUCUUCCCUUCACACCAAAACCGAUCUGCUCACGUUCAAAAGAAAGACACGAGACCAUGGCCGCGAGGUCAGGCUCGGAGUAAUUCUGGCUGGCGGCUGCUUUUGCGGUCGUUGGUUGGAAACCUGCAUCAACUGAUGCUACCUUUUUACCCCCGUCGUCUCGGGUUGCGCUUCGGCCCUUCUCGGGAUUGUCAUUCUGGCUAAGUCUGUUCGCUUUCUUGGAUCUCAGCAGUUCCAUGGGGGCGGGCAAGUUGACACCUACGUGAACCUAGUGUAGCAUACAACUCUUUGCAAUGGAUAUCUUGGCUCUC